GAUGAACGCUGGCGGCGUGCCUAACACAUGCAAGUCGAGCGAACAGACGCUGAGCUUGUGCCUCUGACGUUUGCGGCGGACGGGUGAGUCACACGUGGAUAACCUACCUAUAAGACUGGGAUAACUUCGGGAAAGCGGAGCUAAUACCGGAUAAUCUAUUGAACCGCAUGGUUCAUUAGUGAAAGACGGCUUUGCUGUCACUUAUAGCUGGAUCCGCGCCGCAUUAGCUAGUUGGUAAGGUAACGGCUUAUCAAGGCAACGAGGCGUAGCCGACCUGAGAGAGUGAUCGGCCACACUGGAACUGGGACACGGUCCAGACUCCUGCGGGAGGCAGCAGUAGGGAAUGGGCGGCAAUGGGCGAGAGCCUGACGGAGCAACGCCGCGUGAGUGAUGAAGAUCUUCGGAGCGUAAAGCUCUGUUAUUAGGGAAGAACAAAUGUGUAAGUAGCUAUGCACGUCUUGACGGUACCGGAUCAAAAAGCCACGGCUAACUACGUG
rnacentral:rRNA from 1 species